rnacentral:tRNA from 1 species
UGCCCCUUCGUUUAAUGGUAGGACAACGGACUUUGAAUCCGUGAAUGCUGGUUCGAUCCCAGCAGGGGCAUCCA